rnacentral:lncRNA from 1 species
CUGAUGCAUGGUCGGUACCUGGGUGGUUAAUAUAUCACUGCCUUUGCAUAGCGAGAAGCCACCCUGUAGCGCUGCUAAAAUAGAAAGCCCUGCAGUAACGGAGGUGGGGUUUUCUCAAAUAGGUCACCAUGGGGUGAGGAAGAUAAGGGAUGGAGAGUUGUGGUUGCUGGGACAGGAGCACGGAGGUUGGAGAGCCGAGCAGAUCGUAGCAGGUGGCCACGCUUGGAGGGAAAGGGGAUUCAAGUCACGCUUGGGAUCUGGUCCCUCCUUCCCAGCCUCCUCUGCUAGCUCUGUGAAGGGCAACCGUAAAUGCACCACGAACCUCGUCUCUGCAAAAGGGUUUGGAAAUGAAAACAGCAGGCAAGGCUUUGAUUUCCCUCCCGGCCUUUGACAACACGCAUUUGCAAAACAGCAUCGUGCUACAAGGCUCUGGUGUUGUGCAGAGCAUGGGUGCUGCAUCUGAGCCUCCAGGCUCAGUGCUUUCGGGCUUUUAGUCAUCAAUAAAC